UCCAGAGAUCCCAGGGUCUCUUCCAGAGAAACACACUCGUUGCUCCAGUGACAGUGACAUUGCCCCAGCACUUCAUGGGGGUGCAGCCAUCCCAAGUCCACCCUGAUAAACAAUCUUCAGGAGUGCAGGCUACAUGCUGGCAAGCAGACCCUGUGCAUUUGGAAUUAAAGCUUCCUUCCUAAGCAGUUUCCCAAUGUUAAUGUACAGUAAAUGGUUUAAGGAAGGGUCAGGGAAUGUAAGCAACAGAUAUUUCUGAUGUGAACUAGGGCAAGGGGGAGUGGCUUUUAAGUGAAAGAAGACAGGUUUAGAUUGGCCAUUAGUAAGAAAUUCUUCCCUGUCAGGGUGGUGACAGGUUGCCCAGAGAAGCUGUGGCUGCCCCUGGAUCCCUGGAAGUGUCCAAGGCCAGGCUGGAUGGGGCUAGGAGCAGCCUGGCAUAGGGGAAUGGGUUUCUGCUGCCCAUGGCAAGUAGGGAAAAAGGUAGUCUUUAAGGUCCCUCCCAACCCAGCCGUUCCAUGAUUCUGUCCCCAGAGCAGAAGAAACCUCUGCCCUGAUCAGGAAAAGCUGAAGAAAUGUUGUGCUGCCCUUUGAUCUAAGGGCUGUUGCAGGCACUGCAUGGCAAGGACCGUCCUCUCUGGAGACCCUGGCCUGGGCCCCAAAUCCUCAGAUUCCUUGGCACUAGAUGGAGCACGUGAGCUUCACCAAGCAAAGCCAGAAGCGGCCCUAGAGAAGAUCCUGCACUGUGAUCAGCUCUGUUCAGCUUUGGUUUGCCUGUCCAGCCCUGCCGGGGAGGGGCCCAUCUUAUUUCGGUCCUUUCCCUGCCCCUGGCAUCUCCUGCAGCUGGAUGGUUGUUGGCACCAAAGGCAGCAGGUUGUGGUGGAGGAGGAAGAGGAAAAAACCUGAUUGCUGUGGAGCAGAUUCCCCAUAAAUGGCAUCAUCCAGGUAUGUCAUGGUGCACAAACCAGGGAGGACAGGCUACAGAGGCUGCAGCUGCAGCUUUCCCACAGGGCACAACAGAGAGAGAUUCCCUUGAUCCCAGUUUGUAAUCCCUGUUUAAUACUCCCAGAGAAAAGUUCAAAAUCCACAGGGUUUCCUGCCAACACAGCGAGGCAGAGGGGGUGGAAUUCCUCUGGUGCUUUGGGGUGGAAAGAAUGACAUUUGUAUGGCCUCAGCAGAGGGCCAGCACGGGUGGUGGCAGGUUGGAUUGCAAGCCCCUGCAUCCCACACCUUCCUGGGAGCUGGGCUGUGGCAGGAGGAGAUGGAAUCCUUGUGGAUGUGGCAGCAGGGAUUUGCAAUCCCUUAGGAGGAUCCACGGGGCUGUGGGGUCCUGACCUGUUCCCACACUGAUCCAGGAGGGCUGGUCUGGGGUUGUGGCAAGCCAAGAGGACUCCAGGAUGCCCUUUUCAGGCUAAUGUUUGGACUCAGUGGUCCUAGUGGACUUUUCUGGCUGGAUCCUCCCAAAAAGCAGCCAAAAGGAAAAACCAAGUGCUUGGUUUGUCA
rnacentral:lncRNA from 1 species